UGGGGAAUAUUGCACAAUGGGGGAAACCCCGAUGCAGCGACGCCGCGUGAGUGAAGAAGUAAUUCGUUAUGUAAAGCUCUAUCAGCAGGGAAGAUAGUGACGGUACCUGACUAAGAAGCUCCGGCUAAAUACGUGCCAGCAGCCGCGGUAAUACGUAUGGAGCAAGCGUUAUCCGGAUUUACUGGGUGUAAAGGGAGUGUAGGUGGCCAUGCAAGUCAGAAGUGAAAAUCCGGGGCUCAACCCCGGAACUGCUUUUGAAACUGUAAGGCUAGAGUGCAGGAGGGGUGAGUGGAAUUCCUAGUGUAGCGGUGAAAUGCGUAGAUAUUAGGAGGAACACCAGUGGCGAAGGCGGCUCACUGGACUGUAACUGACACUGAGGCUCGAAAGUGUGGGGAGCAAACAGGAUUAGAUACCCUGGUAGUCCACGCUGUAAACGAUGAAUACUAGGUGUGCGGGGACUGACCCCCUGCGUGCCGCAGCUAACGCAAUAAGUAUUCCACCUGGGGAGUACGAUCGCAAGGUUGAAACUCAAAGGAAUUGACGGGGGCCCGCACAAGCGGUGGAUUAUGUGGUUUAAUUCGAAGCAACGCGAAGAACCUUACCAGGUCUUGACAUCCUUCUGACCACUCCGUAAUGGGAGUCUUCCUUCGGGACAGAAGAGACAGGUGGUGCAUGGUUGUCGUCAGCUCGUGUCGUGAGAUGUUGGGUUAAGUCCCGCAACGAGCGCAACCCCUAUCUUCAGUAGCCAGCAGGUAAGGCUGGGCACUCUGGAGAGACUGCCAGGGAUAACCUGGAGGAAGGUGGGGACGACGUCAAAUCAUCAUGCCCCUUAUGAUCUGGGCGACACACGUGCUACAAUGGCGCAAACAAAGGGAAGCGAGACCGCGAGGUGGAGCAAAUCUCAUAAAAGGCGUCCCAGUUCGGACUGCAGGCUGCAACUCGCCUGCACGAAGUUGGAAUUGCUAGUAAUCGCGGAUCAGCAUGCCGCGGUGAAUACGUUCCC
rnacentral:rRNA from 1 species